rnacentral:rRNA from 1 species
GCAGAACUCCGUGAGCCGACAGGGACUUGAACACAUAUUGUGCUUUUGGGAUAUUCCUAAAAGCAUGCUUGCUUCAGUGUCUAUUGUGCAUUGUUUCAAUAGCUUCUUUAUUGCAAACGACAAACUAUUGUAAGUUGCUAUGCCUCAACAUAUGUUAGUCUGCAUGCUGCUACCUUUGAGGUUUGGGUGUUGACAAGGCUUUUCAAUGCUGGUCAGUCGUUUAAUGCAUGUAUAGCUCAAACAUGCUGCCUCAGUUUAUUGUGGGUCUUGCUGUCACGAACUUGUUGAACAAAAUAUUUGAGACAUGAAGUUAGGUUUGCAUACCCGCUGAACUUAAGCAUAUGGA